rnacentral:rRNA from 1 species
UGUGUGAAUAUUGGCACAAUGGGGCGCAAGCCUGAUGCAGCCAUGCCGCGUGUAUGAAGAAGGCCUUCGGGUUGUAAAGUACUUUCAGCGGGGAGGAAGGCGGUGGGGUUAAUAACCUUACCGAUUGACGUUACCCGCAAAAAAAGCACCGGCUAACUCCGUGCCAGCAGCCGCGGUAAUUAAAAAAAA